GACGAACGCUGGCGGCGUGCCUAAUACAUGCAAGUCGAACGCAGUGGGGCCGGGUGAGUAACACGUGGGUAACCUCCCAUCAGAGGGGAUACCACUUGGAAACAGGUGCUAAACCCCUACUGCUGGAUGGACCCGCGGUGCAUUAGCUAGUUGGUGAGGUAACGGCUCACCAAGGCCACGAUGCAUAGCCGACCUGAGAGGGUGAUCGGCCAAACUGGGAGUGAGACACGGCCCAGACUCCUACGGGAGGCAGCAGUAGGGAAUCUUCGGCAAUGGACGAAAGUCUGACCGGGAAACGCCGCGUGAGUGAAGAAGGUUUUCGGAUCGUAAAACUCUGUUGUUAGAGAAGCGGUAUCUAACCAGAAAGCAACGGCUAACUACGUGCCAGCAGCCGCGGUAAUAC
rnacentral:rRNA from 1 species